GAUUAACGCUAGCGGCAGGCCUAAUACAUGCAAGUUGAACGGGAUUUCGGGUAGCAAUAUCUGGAUGAGAGUAGCGCACGGGUGCGUAACACGUAUGCAACCUACCUAUAACUGGGGGAUAGCCUCCCGAAAGGGAGAUUAAUACCGCAUAACAUUAUGAAGUGGCAUCACUUUAUAAUUAAACCUCUGGGGGUUAUAGAUGGGCAUGCGUCCGAUUAGCUAGUUGGUGAGGUAACGGCUCACCAAGGCUCCGAUCGGUAGGGGGUCUGAGAGGAUGAUCCCCCACACUGGUACUGAGACACGGACCAGACUCCUACGGGAGGCAGCAGUAAGGAAUAUUGGACAAUGGGCGCAAGCCUUGAUCCAGCCAUGCCG
rnacentral:rRNA from 1 species